rnacentral:rRNA from 1 species
UCGAGCGGUAGAGAGAAGCUUGCUUCUCUUGAGAGCGGCGGACGGGUGAGUAAUGCCUAGGAAUCUGCCUGGUAGUGGGGGAUAACGUUCGGAAACGGACGCUAAUACCGCAUACGUCCUACGGGAGAAAGCAGGGGACCUUCGGGCCCUGCGCUAUCAGAUGAGCCUAGGUCGGAUUAGCUAGUUGGUGAGGUAAUGGCUCACCAAGGCUACGAUCCGUAACUGGUCUGAGAGGAUGAUCAGUCACACCGGAACUGAGACACGGUCCGGACUCCUACGGGAGGCAGCAGUGGGGAAUAUUGGACAAUGGGGGCAACCCUGAUCCAGCCAUGCCGCGUGUGUGAAGAAGGCCUUUUGGUUGUAAAGCACUUUAAGCAGGGAGGAGAGGCUAAUGGUUAAUACCCAUUAGAUUAGACGUUACCUGCAGAAUAAGCACCGGCUAACUCUGUGCCAGCAGCCGCGGUAAU